AUACGGAGGAUCCGAGCGUUAUCCGGAUUUAUUGGGUUUAAAGGGAGCGUAGGCGGACGCUUAAGUCAGUUGUGAAAGUUUGCGGCUCAACCGUAAAAUUGCAGUUGAUACUGGGUGUCUUGAGUACAGUAGAGGCAGGCGGAAUUCGUGGUGUAGCGGGGAAAUGCUUAGAUAUCACGAAGAACUCUGAUUGCGAAGGCAGCCUGCUGGACUGUAACUGACGCUGAUGCUCGAAAGUGUGGGUAUCAAACAGGAUUAGAUACCCUGGUAGUCCACACAGUAAACGAUGAAUACUCGCUGUUUGCGAUAUACAGUAAGCGGCCAAGCGAAAGCGUUAAGUAUUCCACCUGGGGAGUACGCCGGCAACGGUGAAACUCAAAGGAAUUGACGGGG
rnacentral:rRNA from 1 species